rnacentral:rRNA from 1 species
ACGCACGUUGGCGGCGUGCUUAAUACAUGCAAGUCAACUGAAGCAGUGGUAGCAAUCUCGCUGUGGAGGUGGCGCACGGGUGAGUAACACGUAGGUAAUCUGCCUUCAGGUCUGGCAUAACUCCGGGAAACCGGGGCUAAUAGCAGAUGAUGCAGCGGCUCGACAUCGAGACAGUUGUUAAAGCUAUGGCGCCUGAAGAUGAGCCUGCGUCUGAUUAGCUAGUUGGCGGGGUAACGGCCCACCAAGGCAACGAUCAGUAGCUGGUCUGAGAGGAUGAUCAGCCACACUGGAACUGAGACACGGUCCAGACUCCUACGGGAGGCAGCAGUAAGGAAUAUUGCUCAAUGGGAGAAAUCCUGAAGCAGCAACGCCGCGUGAGGGACGAAGGGCUUUUGCUUGUAAACCUCUGUAGUGAGAGAAAAAAAUCCCAAUCUUUGGGACAUGAUGGUAGCUCAAAAGUAAGCCCCGGCUAACUACGUG